rnacentral:rRNA from 1 species
UACAGAGGGUGCAAGCGUUGCUCGGAAUCAUUGGGCGUAAAGGGCAGGUAGGUGGUCUGGAUUUGUCUGGAGGUGAAAGGCCUUGGGCUUAACCCAAGAAGUGCCCCGGCAAAACGGUCAGACUUUGAGUCUUGGAGAGGGUUGCGGAAUUCCCGGUGUAGCGGUGAAAUGCGUAGAGAUCGGGAGGAACACCGGCGGCGAAGGCGGCUGCCUGGACCGGCCCUGACGCUGAGGCGCGAAAGCUAGGGGAGCAAACAGG